rnacentral:misc_RNA from 1 species
UAGCCGUUAUAAACAGCAGCAGCUCAUUUUCUGGCUAAGCUAGAGUACAGCAAUGGCUCACCCCAUCCUCCUCCUCCUCCCACAUAUCAUAAAAGCGAACCAAGCGAGCGUACAAAUAUCAUGAUGCGUGCCGCAGCCGUGGUCACACGCCGGCAUGAGCGUCUCUGCUGAGUGUCAAUGGAGUAUGCCUGUGCCGCAGCGCGUCGCUGUCUGCCUCUUUUAUGCGUCAGUGGGUCCUACGCUGGCCAGUUCUCUAGUAGUGUUCGUUGACGCAAACGUCGGUCGCGGCGGCUCUGCUAGUCCGCACUCCCUCUCCGCGUGAGAGAAGCGAUGCUUCGCCACCGCUACAUCUGCGCAGCUGUUCGUCUGUCUUUUAUAUAUAUAUAUAUAUAUAUGAGGGGUCAAUUCGCACUUACUUUCACGUGUCUCUUGUAGAGGAGGGUGCGCGUGAGACGGAAUGGUCUCUCUCCCUCUCUCCUCACUGUUUUGGGCUCCUAAACAUGAUAUUUGGGGGGAGGCUUGCGCGUCUGCUGGUAAUGUGUGUGUCGGAUGUGACUUCGAUGCCGCAGACGUCUCCCAAGUCUGUUUGGAGCUGCCUUUCUUUUGGGGGUGGGGGGCCUCUGCCUGUGUGUGUGUUCGUGCGUUCGCCUAGUACGGUGGGAUAGUGCUGUCAGAAGAGAAAUCGAAAAACAACAUCCGCACAGCUUACGCAUGGCUGGUAAACAACAAAGGAGGGCAUUGCCUGUGCAGCGCCUUCUCUUGGAGAGCGCCGCACAGUUGUCCGAGAGGGUGGCCUGUCCCUCAACAGGCUCACGACACAGAGCUGUUGCUGACCGUAUGGUAGACGGGAUACCGCUGCCUGCUUCCUCCCAUGACCCUUUAUCCUCCACCGUGCGGUCACAGCUCAGCAUCGGCACCACUCCGCUUGCCACGGGUCUGUACAGAAACUAUACGCAGUGAAAUCGCUCCAUGCAUCACCUCGGGUACUUGAACAACAGACAAAAAGGAUAGCGAUGUGUUGAUGGUGUCGCAUUAGGCCUCGCAUGUGCUCGGCAUUUUUUCUUGUCUGUCUACCCUCUCUCCCUCCUUCUCCACAUUAUCCUCCCACCCUGCGACACUUUAUUCGUACGAACGGUUUCACGCGCACGCACUCGAAUCCGCACAACCAAG